rnacentral:rRNA from 1 species
AACGAACGCUGGCGGCAGGCCUAACACAUGCAAGUCGAGCGCCCUUUCGGGGGAGCGGCGGACGGGUGAGUAACGCGUGGGAAUAUGCCCUUCUCUACGGAAUAGCCUCGGGAAACUGAGAGUAAUACCGUAUACGCCCUUAGGGGGAAAGAUUUAUCGGGGAAGGAUUAGCCCGCGUUGGAUUAGGUAGUUGGUGGGGUAAUGGCCUACCAAGCCGACGAUCCAUAGCUGGUUUGAGAGGAUGAUCAGCCACACUGGGACUGAGACACGGCCCAGACUCCUACGGGAGGCAGCAGUGGGGAAUCUUAGACAAUGGGGGCAACCCUGAUCUAGCCAUGCCGCGUGAGUGAUGAAGGCCUUAGGGUUGUAAAGCUCUUUCAGCUGGGAAGAUAAUGACGGUACCAGCAGAAGAAGCCCCGGCUAACUCCGUGACAGCAGCCGCAGUAA